rnacentral:rRNA from 1 species
UACGGAGGGAACUAGCGUUGUUCGGAUUUACUGGGCGUAAAGGGCGCGUAGGCGGUUUGUUAAGUUAGAAGUGAAAGCCCAGGGCUUAACCCUGGAACUGCUUCUAAAACUGGCAGACUAGAGUGCGGGAGAGGAUAGUGGAAUUCCUAGUGUAGAGGUGAAAUUCUUAGAUAUUAGGAGGAACACCAGUGGCGAAGGCGACUAUCUGGAACGUUACUGACGCUGAGGCGCGAAAGCGUGGGGAGCAAACAGG